GCUUCCUGGAUGAAAGGCAUAUAAAACUUAGUCACAGCAUCAAGAGUAACAUCAAACCUUUUUAAAUAGACAUUGCAAGAGCCACAUGAAGAUAAAGAUGAAUUUUUGUUCCUUCAUAACAGUUCCCACUUUCUAAGUGUCUUGUAGUACUUUGCAGACUUCAUUGAAAUGAUUAGAGCUGGUGCACAAGCAGAAUCUAAAUUUUGACUCUCCCUACCUAAAAUUGGAGAAAAGCUCAGGUUUCAGUAGCAAGUAUCUGAUGUCCUUUAUGCUAACGUUCCCAACAAUCUUCUUCUUUGGUGCGUCUACAACUGGAAGACCACCAAUUUGGUUAUCUCUCAUUCGCUUGAAAGCCUCCAGAAUCAACUCAUCGCCCUGGAUGCUAAUUACCUGGCCAAGAAGACAGAAGUACAUUUUGAAUAUCUGAAUUUCAGUAAUCAGCUUGCAGAAUACUCAUGUAACAACACACACCUUACCUCAGCAGGGGACAUGAAAGGAAGCCCUAAUUCAGAAAUAGGCUGCAUAGCAAUGAGGUCAAACCAGUCCCUUCCAUUACAUCUAUCAAGACCCUGAACAACGGCAGAUUGAGUAAUGUAGUUCUUAAUGUCAGGCUUGCCUUCUUCAAUUACAGGUACAUUCCUUAGCCUAUAUUUUGAAAGUAGCAGUAAGACACUCAACAUAGAACACUCUAUUGAAACUGGGAGGAAAGGAG